rnacentral:rRNA from 1 species
GACAGAGGAUGCAAGCGUUAUCCGGAAUGAUUGGGCGUAAAGCGUCUGUAGGUGGCUUUUUAAGUCCGCCGUCAAAUCCCAGGGCUCAACCCUGGACAGGCGGUGGAAACUACCAAGCUGGAGUACGGUAGGGGCAGAGGGAAUUUCCGGUGGAGCGGUGAAAUGCGUAGAGAUCGGGAAGAACACCGGUGGCGAAGGCGCUCUGCUAGGCCGUAACUGACACUGAGGGACGAAAGCUAGGGGAGCGAAUGGG